rnacentral:rRNA from 1 species
CAGUUCGGAUUGUAGGCUGCAACUCGCCUACAUGAAGUCGGAGUUGCUAGUAAUCGCGGAUCAGAAUGCCGCGGUGAAUACGUUCCCGGGCCUUGUACACACCGCCCGUCAAGCCAUGGGAGCCGGGGGUGCCUGAAGUUCGUGACCGCAAGGAGCGACCUAGGGCAAAACUGGUGACUGGGGCUAAGUCGUAACAAGGUAUC